AACGAACGCUGGCGGCAGGCCUAAAACAUGCAAGUCGAGCGGGCAUAGCAAUAUGUCAGCGGCGGACGGGUGAAUAACACGUGGGAACAUGCCCUUUGGUACGGAACAACUCAGGGAAACUUGAGCUAAUACCGUAUGUGCCGGUAACGGGAAAGAUUUAUCGCCAAAGGAUUGGCCCGCGUCCGAUUAGCUAGUUGGUGAGGUAACGGCUCACCAAGGCGACGAUCGGUAGCUGGUUUGAGAGAACGAUCAGCCACACUGGGACUGAGACACGGCCCAGACUCCUACGGGAGGCAGCAGUUGGGAAUCUUGGACAAUGGGGGAACCCGUACAUCCAGCAUGCCGCGUGAGCGAUGAAGGCC
rnacentral:rRNA from 1 species